GCAGUGGUAGCUCAGUGGUUAAGACGUUGGACUACUAAUUGGAAGGUUGUGAGUGCAAAUCCACUGCCACUGCU